GUUAAGCGACUAAGCGUACACGGUGGAUGCCCUGGCAGUCAGAGGCGAUGAAGGACGUGCUAAUCUGCGAUAAGCGUCGGUAAGGUGAUAUGAACCGUUAUAACCGGCGAUUUCCGAAUGGGGAAACCCAGUGUGUUUCGACACACUAUCAUUAACUGAAUCCAUAGGUUAAUGAGGCGAACCGGGGGAACUGAAACAUCUAAGUACCCCGAGGAAAAGAAAUCAACCGAGAUUCCCCCAGUAGCGGCGAGCGAACGGGGAGCAGCCCAGAGCCUGAAUCAGUAUGUGUGUUAGUGGAAGCGUCUGGAAAGGCGCGCGAUACAGGGUGACAGCCCCGUACACAAAAAUGCACAUGCUGUGAGCUCGAUGAGUAGGGCGGGACACGUGGUAUCCUGUCUGAAUAUGGGGGGACCAUCCUCCAAGGCUAAAUACUCCUGACUGACCGAUAGUGAACCAGUACCGUGAGGGAAAGGCGAAAAGAACCCCGGCGAGGGGAGUGAAAAAGAACCUGAAACCGUGUACGUACAAGCAGUGGGAGCACGCUUAGGCGUGUGACUGCGUACCUUUUGUAUAAUGGGUCAGCGACUUAUAUUCUGUAGCAAGGUUAACCGAAUAGGGGAGCCGAAGGGAAACCGAGUCUUAACUGGGCGUUAAGUUGCAGGGUAUAGACCCGAAACCCGGUGAUCUAGCCAUGGGCAGGUUGAAGGUUGGGUAACACUAACUGGAGGACCGAACCGACUAAUGUUGAAAAAUUAGCGGAUGACUUGUGGCUGGGGGUGAAAGGCCAAUCAAACCGGGAGAUAGCUGGUUCUCCCCGAAAGCUAUUUAGGUAGCGCCUCGUGAAUUCAUCUCCGGGGGUAGAGCACUGUUUCGGCAAGGGGGUCAUCCCGACUUACCAACCCGAUGCAAACUGCGAAUACCGGAGAAUGUUAUCACGGGAGACACACGGCGGGUGCUAACGUCCGUCGUGAAGAGGGAAACAACCCAGACCGCCAGCUAAGGUCCCAAAGUCAUGGUUAAGUGGGAAACGAUGUGGGAAGGCCCAGACAGCCAGGAUGUUGGCUUAGAAGCAGCCAUCAUUUAAAGAAAGCGUAAUAGCUCACUGGUCGAGUCGGCCUGCGCGGAAGAUGUAACGGGGCUAAACCAUGCACCGAAGCUGCGGCAGCGACGCUGAUGCGUUGUUGGGUAGGGGAGCGUUCUGUAAGCCUGCGAAGGUGUGCUGUGAGGCAUGCUGGAGGUAUCAGAAGUGCGAAUGCUGACAUAAGUAACGAUAAAGCGGGUGAAAAGCCCGCUCGCCGGAAGACCAAGGGUUCCUGUCCAACGUUAAUCGGGGCAGGGUGAGUCGACCCCUAAGGCGAGGCCGAAAGGCGUAGUCGAUGGGAAACAGGUUAAUAUUCCUGUACUUGGUGUUACUGCGAAGGGGGGACGGAGAAGGCUAUGUUGGCCGGGCGACGGUUGUCCCGGUUUAAGCGUGUAGGCUGGUUUUCCAGGCAAAUCCGGAAAAUCAAGGCUGAGGCGUGAUGACGAGGCACU
rnacentral:rRNA from 1 species